rnacentral:lncRNA from 1 species
UGACUGCCAAGUGACGAUAUCACAGCAGAUCAAAUGGAAACAUGGCUCAGAGGGCCAAGGGUUCUUACACACAGAGGACUUGUGGACAGAACUGCCUCAGGACUGAGUGUUUUCCAAUGAUAGCUGCUUUCAGGUCCAGUCAACACUCUUAAGUAGGAGACAGGAUGAGAAGAAGAAACGGCUUCCAGGUUCCCGAUGGCAACCCUCCCCCCAGAGCCUGUUGCAUGGUUGGCCUCUUACUGGAGCACACUCUAGACUGCCGUGUGGGAGACCCUUCCUUUAUUUCCUGAUUACAGGAACAAGAGGGAAGAGAAAUAAUUAAAGACUGUACGAUCUGAGGAGUGUAAAAUAUCAGAUUCGAAUAGAUGGCCCAGAAUUAAGGAAGCAUUCUUGGUCCAGGUAGGGUGAUGGUUUCGGUGAGAAAGAACAACAGAGUGUGUUAACCUUGGUAUGCCACUUCGGUGAUCGUGCCCCAUCAACAUGGUCAGGCAAAUUGCCACCAUGUUGCAGAAGACUAGAAAAACUUCGGCAAUAGGUAUUUAUAAACGUCACUCAGAUGGUCUUUAGUUUAUUUCGAUAGCGUGGUAUACUUUGCUUUAGAUAGAAUUUAAAAAGCAAAAUGAUCCAAGACCUUUCCGAUAAUUCCGAGGCCGCUAUAUUCAGCUUUAGAUAAAACGUGUUUUAUCUUGAAGUUGUGAUAAGUCUCUGAUAAAAUGUUUUAUUUCAGUGGCCAGCCAUCAUAUUUUAGCAUGCAUUUACAAACACUGUUUAGUAGUGGCUAGUAAAGCUUUCCCUGGUGGAAGCAGCCAAAAAGAUGCUGGCUGUCACUGUGUUCCAGGGUUUGAUGUUUGAACAGCAGUUUCUAGGUGGCGUUUUUAUGCAUUGCAGACGGCUGCGGCAAGCAGGACUCGAACAUAAAAGACCAUUUAGAAAGUGUUCUUAUGUACCUUUAGCUUUAAUUGAGCUCCAUAUUAGCAGGUUAUCAAAAUGUCAUUAUUGAAAAGUUAAAUUCUCAUUAAUGAUAAAGUUCAGAGCUAGAUAACUCCAGAGGCUAAAGGAAGAGCGGGUGCUUAAUUAGAAAGAGAAACCUAGACGCCGAGAGAAGUACGAAUGCUGCUGCCUUCAGAUGUUUGAAGGUCUUCUUAUGUAGGGCACUUAGGGGGUGUCUGGCAGAACUGCCAAGUGGGAGAGGCAGGGAAGUGGACGUCAUCUCUGUAGAAAGACAACUCUGAAACAAUGAGUGUUGCUCAAAAAAUAACCUGAGCCAUAAAACACCAAGCUCCCUGUCUAGACAUUUUCCACAACUAUUCACUUGGUAGCUCUAUUUUCUCUUGCUUGAAUUCUGGGAGAGCACUCUAGGGCACAUAUUAGAGCCCCUCCAGGAUCCAGAUCAGGAGGUGCAGCUAGUCACCUCUUAGUACAUUUUUUUUUUAAAGAAAACAUAGCACUGUUGCUCAAAGAGCACACUGAAAAUCCUGGUCUGGACAACCUGGGAAUGAGAAAAACAAGAACCGAGAGUUGCCUCAAGCCUCCAAGGAGACAUGCAAAUUGGUUCUAAUUGGCUUCUCUUCAAGAGCCUUUGGAGUCA